rfam:Myotis davidii contig136728, whole genome shotgun sequence.
CAAAUUCAGUUGGCCUAUAUUUUUCAUGGCCACCCUAUUGUUGGGCUCAACAAUCUAGGUGACUGGGUGGUACAUCUGCCCAUGGUUAUUCAGAUACCCCAAAGUAAAUUGAGGGAGGACAGGCAAUUUCUGUUAAUAGAAGGGCAAAAGUAGACUUGAUUUGGUCUUCAGUAUAGACACAAACUGUGCAAGCAGAGCCUUACAAUCCUUCUGAUCUUCUUCGCAGUCUUAAGGAAGAGGUGUCAGAACAGUUACUAGAAGUAUAACUGGAAUAUAGUGUCCAAGUGUUCAUGGCAACUCUAGCUUUUAGUCCUCAAUAUUGGCUCUUCGUUGUGAAGCAGGCUUCAUCAAAUGUUGCAUUGUUCACCCAUUAAUGAGAAUGUGGGCUGGGAAUAGGCCAACUUGAGAUAGGACAGU